UACGUAGGGCGCAAGCGUUAUCCGGAAUUACUGGGCGUAAAGGGCUCGUAGGCGGCCAACUAAGUCAGACGUGAAAUCCCUCGGCUUAACCGGGGAACUGCGUCUGAUACUGGAUGGCUUGAGUUUGGGAGAGGGAUGCGGAAUUCCAGGUGUAGCGGUGAAAUGCGUAGAUAUCUGGAGGAACACCGGUGGCGAAGGCGGCAUCCUGGACCAACACUGACGCUGAGUGAGCGAAAGCCAGGGGAGCAAACGGG
rnacentral:rRNA from 1 species